AAAUAGUACUUUGCAGAGAGAGUUAACAGGGCGUGAACCGUUGGUUGGCAAACGAAUCGGAGCCACGAAGUCGUUUCGUUGAGUUGGGUCAAGUUCAGCCUAGCAGAGAUGUUGGGUGUAUUCUUGGUUCAACCUAUGUAAGCGUACACUGCAACCAGUUAGACGAUUGGAGAUGGGCCCAGCUAACUGUGGGUUUACUCAUGGUUGGCGAAGCAUUUGUUUGCUCGAGUUAGUAGUAACGAGGUAAAUUUCGGUUUAUUCUUGUUGCUGGGCUUGUGGCAAGUGAACUAUCACCAAAUACUGACUGGCAAAAUGAAAAUCGCUAUAUGCGUAAUAUAAAAUGCGCCUUUCGCAUAGAUGUCUACGCGCUUGACCAUAGGGUUUAAGCUCAGCAUUCUUGAAUUUAGACUUGCUCGCUACCAAUGGGGCAACUCUUGGUGCUUGUAUAGCUUCUAUCUAAUCGGGUGUUGACUUGAUUCUAUGUCGUUUGAGUGUGAAUCGUUUGGAUGUUUAUGUGAUGAGGUUAGCAAACAUUGGCAGUGAGUAGGUCGGCUUUCCGAACGACCCGUCUUGAAACACGGACCAAGGAGUCUAAUUAGGCAUCGAGUCGAUCGGUCUUGAUAGGCCAGACAGUGGGGCUUGACCCUGCGAUUGAAGGCGUAGAGAAAUCAAAUCAUGUGAUCCUGUGGACAAUACCAGUCCUAUGGCGCAACAUGUGCCUGUUCGUAUAGUAAUGUUAGCAAUAACUUACUGAGCGGAGCAAAGAGAUACCUGAUUGGUACCCGAAAGAUGGUGAACUAUGCUUGGGCAAAUUGAAGCCAGAGGAAACUCUGGUGGAGGAUUGUAGCGAUUCUGACGUGCAAAUCGAUCGUCAGACCUGAGUAUAGGGGCGAAAGACUAAUCGAACCAUC
rnacentral:rRNA from 1 species